rnacentral:lncRNA from 1 species
AUGGCGGCAGGGGGAGGCGUGCUGGGGGGCUGGGCUCUUCUGGAAGGACCCGAGGGCAGGCAGGUGCAGGGCCCCCAAAGUGUGGGUGCCCCCAAGGCCCCGCCCCUUUCAGUGUGGCCCCGCCCACCGUGGCCAGAUCACGAGGUAGUCGUAACAGGGCCACAAAACCCUCUGCAGCUGGACGGUGAAUUCAAAAUGACUGCUCCCCUAAGAAGACAGGAGGCCACGGUGUUAACACCUCCUGGCAGGCUGUCUGCAGGUAUGGGAGUGGGUUCACACCUCCUGGGCAGGCCGUCUGCAGGUACAGGAGCGGGUUCACACCUCCUGGGCAGGCCAUCUAUGCAGGUACGGGAGCAGGUUCACACCUCCUGGGCAGGCCGUCUGCAGGUACAGGAGCGGGUUCACACCUCCUGGCAGGCUGUCUGCAGGUACAGGAGCGGGUUCACACCUCCUGGGCAGGCUGUCUGCAGGUACAGGAGCGGGUUCACACCUCCUGGGGUGCAGGCCAUCUAUGCAGGUACAGGAGCGGGUUCACACCUUCUGGGGUGCAGGCCAUCUAUGCAGGUACGGGAGCGGGUUCACACCUUCUGGGGUGCAGGCCAUCUAUGCAGGUACAGGAGUGGGUUCACACCUCCUGGGCAGGCUGUCUGCAGGUACAGGAGCGGGUUCACACCUUCUGGGCAGGCCGUCUAUGCAGGUACGGGAGCGGGUUCACACCUCCUGGGCAGGCCAUCUAUGCAGGUACAGGAGCGGGUUCACACCUUCCGGGGUGCAGGCCAUCUAUGCAGGUACAGGAGUGGGUUCACACCUCCUGGGCAGGCUGUCUAUGCAGGAACGGGAGCGGGUUCACACCUUCUGGGCAGGCCGUCUAUGCAGGUACGGGAGCGGGUUCGCACCUCCUGGGCAGGCCGUCUAUGCAGACUGAGGAGUGGGUUCACACCUUCUGACUGUCCCUGGGGUGGCCUUCAGAGCGCAGGACACAAGGUGACAAACGGGCAGCCUACCCGAUGGGACUGCUUAUGUAGAUGGGGGCGAGUGGGAGGGUGA